UCCGCUAUAGUGUAACGGUCAACAUAUCGCGCUUUCAAGGCUCUGCCUGAUCACCGCGAAGCUCCGGGUUCGAUUCCCGGUAGCGGAA